rnacentral:misc_RNA from 1 species
UGCCCCUCACUUGCCAAUACGUCUAGAUCAGCCAGGGCGUCGGCAUGUGUAGCGUAUUAUGUUGGGCUCUCUCGAGAUAAGGAUACGAUGUCCCUUUAUCGGUUGGUUUCCUGUGUGUGCGGCCCGUUCGUUUUUUUUGUUACUUUCGCAUCGUUCGGUGCAUUCUGGGGGCUGUGUUGGCUUUUGGUGGCUUGCUUGGCCUUUUGGCUUUGCUUGUUGCUACUUGUCGGGCUGCUUUCGGGAAUGUCGACCGUGGAGGUGCAUGAGUGGUGUUUGGUUUGUUACGUGUGGAUGGCUGUUUGCUUGUGCAAUAACGUUCACGCUGCAUACCUCUUCAGUUUUGCGGCAAGGCUUGGUUUGGCUUGUGCAUAUUGUGGGUUUCCUGUGUUGCAUACCUAGUUGAUGGAAAAGUGUGGGUUUUACGAUUUUCAUUUUCGUCUUGCGUCGUUCUUUUGGCGUGGGAUGAACAAUGAAGCGAUCUUUAUGAUCCAUCGUGCUGUUGCGUUUGCAACAAUGAUGUGGCCUAUGAAGCAUCGUUUGGUCUCUUGUAUACGGAAGCUCAUUUGGGCUUGGGUCUUUAUAAGAUCUUCGUUACGCCCUUGUUAAGCGUUCUCGCUUCUCCUAAACGAUUG